AGUUUGAUUCUGGCUCAGGAUGAACGCUAGCUACAGGCUUAACACAUGCAAGUCGAGGGGCAUCAUGGAGUUUGCUUGCAAACUCUGAUGGCGACCGGCGCACGGGUGAGUAACGCGUAUCCAACCUUCCCUAUAGUAGAGGAUACGCCCGGCGAAAGUCGGAUUAAUACUCUAUGUUUUCCGUUGCAGACAUCUAAGAUGGAACAAAGGCUUGCCGCUAUAGGAUGGGGGAUGCGUCUGAUUAGGUAGUCGGCGGGGUAACGGCCCACCGAGCCAUCGAUCAGUAGGGGUUCUGAGAGGAAGGUCCCCCACAUUGGAACUGAGACACGGUCCAAACUCCUACGGGAGGCAGCAGUGAGGAAUAUUGGUCAAUGGGCGAGAGCCUGAACCAGCCAAGUAGCGUGCAGGAUGACGGCCCUAUGGGUUGUAAACUGUCUUUUAUGCGGGGAUAAAGUUCGCUACGUGUAGUGUUUUGUAGGUACCGCAUGAAUAAGGACCGGCUAAUUCCGUGCCAGCCGCAGC
rnacentral:rRNA from 1 species